rnacentral:rRNA from 1 species
UCACGCUGGUNGCUUACCUAACACAUGCAAGUCGAGCGAGAAAGUGGAGCAAUCCAUGAGUAAAGCGGCGCACGGGUGAGUAACACGUGAUUAACCUACCCUUGAGUGGGGAAUAACCUGGGGAAACCCGGGCUAAUACCGCAUAACACCUACGGGUCAAAGGAGCAAUUCGCUUAAGGAGGGGGUCGCGGCAGAUUAGUUAGUUGGCGGGGUAAAGGCCCACCAAGACGAUGAUCUGUAUCCGGCCUGAGAGGGCGCACGGACACACUGGAACUGAAACACGGUCCAGACUCCUACGGGAGGCAGCAGUGGGGAAUUUUGCGCAAUGGGGGAAACCCUGACGCAGCAACGCCGCGUGGAGGAUGAAGUCCCUUGGGACGUAAACUCCUUUCGACCGGGACGAUAAUGACGGUACCGGAAGAAGAAGCCCCGGCUAACUUCGUGCCAGCAGCCGCGGUAAUACGAGGGGGGCGAGCGUUGUUCGGAAUUAUUGGGCGUAAAGGGUGCGUAGGCGGUUCCGCAAGUCCUGUGUGAAAUCUUCGGGCUCAACUCGAAGCCUGCACGGGAAACUGCGGGGCUUGAGUGUGGGAGAAGUGAGUG